CAGCUCCAAUAGCGUAUAUUAAAGUUGUUGCAGUUAAAAAGCUCGUAGUUGAAUUUCUGCGUAUGCCUAGUUCUGGCUUUGGUCAAGCUAGUGUGUGCGCAUCCGCUUGCAAAUCCGGACCGGCGUUUACUCGUCGACCGGGGGAGUAGGCCCUUUACCUUGAAAAAAUUAGAGUGUUUCAGGCAGGCAAUGGCUCGAAUACAUUAGCAUGGAAUAAUAGAAUAGGACUUUUGUCUAUUUGGUUGGUUAUUAGACAUGAGUAAUGAUUAAAAGGGACAGUUGGGGGCAUUAGUAUUUAAUAGUCAGAGGUAAAAUUCUU
rnacentral:rRNA from 1 species